UACGAAGGGGGCUAGCGUUGCUCGGAAUCACUGGGCGUAAAGGGCGCGUAGGCGGCCUGCUAAGUCGAACGUGAAAUCCCCGAGCUCAACUCGGGAACUGCGUCCGAUACUGGCAGGCUUGAAUCCGGGAGAGGGAUGCGGAAUUCCAGGUGUAGCGGUGAAAUGCGUAGAUAUCCGGAGGAACACCGGUGGCGAAGGCGGGCUCCUGGGCCGAUACUGAC
rnacentral:rRNA from 1 species